UACGUAGGGUGCGAGCGUUGUCCGGAAUUACUGGGCGUAAAGAGCUCGUAGGUGGUUUGUCGCGUUGUUCGUGAAAACUCACAGCUUAACUGUGGGCGUGCGGGCGAUACGGGCAGACUGGAGUACUGCAGGGGAGACUGGAAUUCCUGGUGUAGCGGUGGAAUGCGCAGAUAUCAGAAGGAACACCGGUGGCGAAGGCGGGUCUCUGGGCAGUAACUGACGCUGAGGAGCGAAAGCGUGGGGAGCGAACAGG
rnacentral:rRNA from 1 species